UACGUAGGGGGCAAGCGUUGUCCGGAAUCAUUGGGCGUAAAGCGCGCGUAGGUGGCUUCGUAAGUCCGUUGUGAAAGUCAAAGGCUCAACCUUUGAAAGCCGAUGGAUACUGUGAAGCUAGAGUACGGAAGAGGCGAGUGGAAUUCCUGGUGUAGCGGUGGAAUGCGCAGAUAUCAGGAGGAACACCAAUAGCGAAGGCAGCUCGCUGGGACGUUACUGACACUGAGGCGCGAAAGCGUGGGGAGCAAACAGG
rnacentral:rRNA from 1 species